rnacentral:tRNA from 5 species
GCGUCCAUCGUAUAUGGGUUAUUGCUUCGCGUUGCCAACGCGACGAACCGGGUUCGAGUCCCGGUGGACGCU